UACAGAGGGUGCGAGCGUUGUUCGGAAUUAUUGGGCGUAAAGGGCGCGUAGGCGGUGCGGUAAGUCACCUGUGAAAUCUCCUGGCUCAACUGGGAGCUUGCAGGCGAAACUGCCGUGCUGGAGUGUGGGAGAGGUGAGUGGAAUUCCCGGUGUAGCGGUGAAAUGCGUAGAUAUCAGGAGGAACACCGGUGGCGAAGGCGGGUCUCUGGGCCGUAACUGACGCUGAGGAGCGAAAGCGUGGGGAGCAAACAGG
rnacentral:rRNA from 1 species